rnacentral:rRNA from 1 species
GCGUUAAUACGUAGGGCGCAAGCGUUAUCNGGAAUUAUUGGGCGUAAAGAGUUCGUAGGCGUUUGUCGNNUCUGCCGUGAAAGUCCGGGNUCAACUCCGNAUCUGCGGUGGGUACGGGCAGACUAGAGUGAUGUAGGGGAGACUGGAAUUCCUGGUGUAGCGGUGAAAUGCGCAGAUAUCAGGAGGAACACCGAUGGCGAAGGCAGGUCUCUGGGCAUUAACUGACGCUGAGGAGCGAAAGCAUGGGGAGCGAACAGGAUUAGAUNCCCCUGGUAGUCCAUGCCGUAAACGUUGGGCACUAGGUGUGGGGGACAUUCCACGUUUUCCGCGCCGUAGCUAACGCAUUAAGUGCCCCGC